rnacentral:rRNA from 1 species
CUACGGGAUGCAGCAGUGGGGAAUCUUGGACAAUGGGCGCAAGCCUGAUCCAGCCAUGCCGCGUGAGUGAAGAAGGUCUUCGGAUUGUAAAGCUCUUUUACCAGGGACGAUAAUGACGGUACCUGGAGAAUAAGCCCCGGCAAACUUCGUGCCAGCAGCCGCGGUAAUACGAAGGGGGCUAGCGUUGUUCGGAAUUACUGGGCGUAAAGCGCACGUGGGCGGGUCGUUAAGUCAGGGGUGAAAUCCCGGAGCUCAACUCCGGAACUGCCUUUGAUACUGGCGAUCUUGAGAUCGGAAGAGGUGAGUGGAAUUCCCAGUGUAGAGGUGAAAUUCGUAGAUAUUGGGAAGAACACCAGUGGCGAAGGCGGCUCACUGGUCCGAUACUGACGCUGAGGUGCGAAAGCGUGGGGAGCAAACAGGAUUAGAUACCCUCGUAGUC